UCUACUUCAACAGAAGAACAAAGUGAUUUAAAACGAAAAAACUAAAAAAAAAGAAAGAAAUUGAAGAAAUCACUUCAACAGAAGAACGAACUUUAAAAGGAACAACUACAAUACUUGAAACGGAUAAGACGACUUUUUCAUUUUUCAUAACUGGGCAAAAAAAGCAAAUAAGUAAGGUUAUUCCCUUAACUUUUCGUCCAUUUUAACGACUUUUUUUCGUAAAGGGACAAAAAACAGCAAAAAAGCAAUCAAAAAGGACAAACAACAGCAAAAACCAAUAUAUCUUUACUUUUCUGUCGAUUUUUAUAUUUUUCAUUUUCCGUAAAGGGACAAAUAUAGCCUUUACUUUUAGUCUAUUUUUAAGGUUACAGGACACCCUUUUUGGCGUUUUGCGGAAAAUCGCUACUGCGCGCUCAAUAUCAGUCCGAUUUGAAUCAAAUUUUCACCAAAUGUUCCCCAGUGUAUGCAAAAUAUGGUAAAGUUGUAAAAUUAACAAACAAUAAAAUAAUACAAGAAUUAUUCUGGAAAAUCUUAAAUCGCGGUACCGUUACGCUUUUGAGUUGUGCUCCUGCUGG